GAGGUGGGUGGCACCCAGGCAACAGGCAAGGAGUGUCCAGGUUCCUCUGGUCUACACGUGGUACAGCAGCCUGAAGCCAAUAUGUUCAGCUUAAUGCCCAAGGAUAUGAGAAA